CCUGGCGCAGCUACACAUGCAGUCGAGCGAGCUCUUCGGAGCUAGCGGCGGACGGGUUAGUAACGCGUGGGAACGUGCCCUUCACUGCGGAAUAGCCACUGGAAACGGUGAGUAAUACCGCAUACGCCCUUCGGGGGAAAGAUUUAUCGGUGAAGGAUCGGCCCGCGUUAGAUUAGAUAGUUGGUGGGGUAACGGCCUACCAAGUCUACGAUCUAUAGCUGGUUUUAGAGGAUGAUCAGCAACACUGGGACUGAGACACGGCCCAGACUCCUACGGGAGGCAGCAGUGGGGAAUCUUGGACAAUGGGCGCAAGCCUGAUCCAGCCAUGCCGCGUGAGUGAUGAAGGCCUUAGGGUCGUAAAGCUCUUUCGCCAGAGAUGAUAAUGACAGUAUCUGGUAAAGAAACCCCGGCUAACUCCGUGCCAGCAGCCGCGGUAAUACGGAGGGGGUUAGCGUUGUUCGGAAUUACUGGGCGUAAAGCGCACGUAGGCGGAUCAGAAAGUUGGGGGUGAAAUCCCGGGGCUCAACCCCGGAACUGCCUCCAAAACUCCUGGUCUUGAGUUCGAGAGAGGUGAGUGGAAUUCCGAGUGUAGAGGUGAAAUUCGUAGAUAUUCGGAGGAACACCAGUGGCGAAGGCGGCUCACUGGCUCGAUACUGACGCUGAGGUGCGAAAGUGUGGGGAGCAAACAGGAUUAGAUACCCUGGU
rnacentral:rRNA from 1 species